rnacentral:rRNA from 1 species
AUGAGGCUACACGCGGCUAUGCUUUCGGGCGAGGCAGCGGAGGCUGGAGUAUUUAUCACCCUUGUCUUUUGCGCACUUGUUGUUUCCUGGGCGGGUUCGCCCGCCACCAGGACCCUAUACAAACCUUUCUAUGCAGUUGUAAUCAGCGUCAGUAUAGCAAAUAUAAAUCAUUUACAACUUUCAACAACGGAUCUCUUGGUUCUGGCAUCGAUGAAGAACGCAGCGAAAUGCGAUACGUAGUGUGAAUUGCAGAAUUCAGUGAAUCAUCGAAUCUUUGAACGCACAUUGCGCCCUUUGGUAUUCCAAAGGGCAUGCCUGUUCGAGCGUCAUUUGUACCCUCAAGCUUUGCUUGGUGUUGGGCGUUUUUUGUCUUUGGUCGCCAAAGACUCGCCUUAAAACGAUUGGCAGCCGGCCUACUGGUUCCGCAGCGCAGCACAUUUUUGCGCUUGCAAUCAGCCGAGGACGGCACUCCAUCAAGACUCCUUCUCACGUUUGACCUCGGAUCAGGUAGGGAUACCCGCUGAACUUAA